rnacentral:rRNA from 1 species
UACGGAGGAUGCGAGCGUUAUCCGGAUUUAUUGGGUUUAAAGGGUGCGUAGGCGGCUUUUUAAGUCAGCGGUGAAAUUUUGCAGCUUAACUGUAACAGUGCCGUUGAUACUGGGGAGCUAGGAUUUGGUUGUAGUGUGCGGAAUGUGUGGUGUAGCGGUGAAAUGCUUAGAUAUCACACAGAACACCGAUUGCGAAGGCAGCACACUAAGUCAUUAUUGACGCUGAGGCACGAAAGUGUGGGGAUCAAACAGGAUUAGAUA